rnacentral:tRNA from 1 species
GCGAGAGUGGUGGAACUGGUAGACACGCGGGACUUAGGAUCCCGUGCCUAUGGCGUGGGGGUUCGAGUCCCCCCUCUCGCACCA